GGCUGCAAAUAACGAUGACGGGGAGAUGUUUGUGUGUGUGGUAGUGGUGAGAUGGCGGAGGAGGAAGAGCGAUUGGAAUGCAGCCGAGUGAGGAAUUCCGGCCCCUCCCGCAUAUUUAUCUGAACGCUGCACGCCGAACCGCGGGGCCCCGCUCCGAGCGAAGGGCCCCCUUUUAUAGUGCGCCAACUACUCUCCGCCGCUCAUACCAUCGGAGGAGGAACGAAGAAAGAGGGAUAGAUAGCAGAGAGCCGCGCGGAGCCAGUGUCGGGCCACUAUGCGUACGGAUCUGUUCAGGAAUGCCCGCGGUGUUUUGUAAUUGGACGCAUUCGUGGCAUUUUCUUCUGAAUACGCAACCGCGGCAAAUUUCGAAAGCAACGUCUUCCGGCGAAUGUUAAGGGCACGGAUGCAGAACCGUUUCCUUCGGGAAUUUUCGAGAUGAUUUAUGAGGAAAUUACGGGGGUAGAGAGAAUCAUGAUUCGAUGUACUUUUAAACAUUGCCGUCGGAAUGGAAUGAUGUAGAGGGGAAUGACGUGGUAGCGAACAGAGAGGGAAAAGAAUCAGCAGUAAGCAGACUGACGAUGGAGAAAAGCAUUUCUUCGGCCGGACAGCUGUUGCCGAACAAAGGCUGAAGGAUACAAAAGAGGAAUUUCUUGGGGCGCACGUGGCUCCCGAGAGAAAGAGAGAAGAAGGGAAGGAAAAAAAGAAAAAGGAGGAUCCACGGCUAAUGCAAGAGGCCGACUAUACACACGUGACCCGCUACACCCUUUCGGGCAUUCCUCUCCUUCCGUCAAUUUCCUCUUUUCUUACUUUCAAUGCGUCAUCUUUCAUUCCUCCUUCCCUGUGACUAUUUCGUCUCCCUCUUAUCAAUCACGCAAAUGGAAUUAUAAUCGAGCAUAUAUUUAGAUUGACUAUGAGUUAUAAAGCUAAGAGUUGUUUUCACAUUAAUGGCUAAUAAAACAAUCCUACUUA